CCUCCAGCAUCAUAAAUACUCCCAGUUGCUUUUUGAUUUCCUGCCAGACUGUUGAAUACAGCUGCAGGAUCAAAUGUCACAAACUGCAGCAACACUCCCAUCAACAACUCUUCAGAUCUCUGCAACUAACCUGACAGUUACACAGACUUGAUCCAACAUGGUCGCCUCAGCUCCUUGUUAAUGUUUGGAAGAGAGGUGACUUACAAUAAGAGGUUGUUGUUUUACAGAGUUCACCUGUUGCUUUGGUGAUGACAGAGCUUUAGAGUCGUCUACUUUAGCAUUUCCAUCAACUGUUAUACACAGGUUUCACCGCUGGAAGCGAUGUCACAUAAAAUUCUACACUAUGGAAAAUACAAAGUUAAAAGUGCGACAAGACAAUGCAGCCACACCGAGGGGGUCAAACUGUAGCAGAUGUACCGAUUCUUUCAUUAUUACAUUUAAACGAGGCAUUGCCAUUUGGUUAUGACAUAAGUUAAUAUUUUUUUGGUUGGUGUAGAACAUUGUUAAACUCCAUAUUUGUCCCCAUUUUAAUUCCAUUAACCUUUCAACACAAUCACCUCUGAAUUAUACACAGCACAGCACAGCAGUCAUACGAGGUGGUACAGGAAGAGGAUGGUGUGUGUACGGGUUCCCAGGAAACAGAGGUGUGACUUAAGAAGAACAACAUAUGCAGCCAUGAAAACACACCACAGAUGAUCGUUCCUAAAGUCAGCCAUGAAAGUCAACAAGAUGAUCACACUCUUCUUCAUGACCUUUAAUAUUGUACUGGUCUCAGGUUUCUCUCUCAGUGACAAAGUCCAGCAGCGUCCAGCUAACAUUUACAAGAAACCAACAGAAACAGCCAAAAUCUACUGUUCACACAGUAUUGACACCUACAAUGUAAUCCUCUGGUACAAGCAGAUCAAUAACAGAGAGCUUCAGCUCCUAGGAUACAUGGUCGGUAGUUCUGGAUAUCCAGAGACUGGAUCUGGUGUGAUAAUGGUCGGGAACACGAAUAAAGAUCAGAAUGUCACAAUAACAAUUGAAGGACUGAACCUGAACAGCAGUGCAGUGUAUUUCUGUGCUGCUAGUUUACACAGUGAAACACAUCAUCUGCUCCUCAGUACAAAAACCUGCACAUGAGGUUCUUUCAUCAGCUCCCAGCCCCUUACACACACACACCCUCCUCUCAUUAGGGGGCAGUAUUUGUACUUGCUGUUACUCCGAAAUGUGGUGAGAGUUGAUAUGACAGUUAUGGAGUUGAGAGAAGAAGGAGUUGACUCAUACAGGAGGUGUAACUGCUGAUGGACUGAAGAAAACACAAUGAUCCACUGCAACAAGGUUUAACCAAACAGCCAGAGAACACAAAAUGAUUGUCCUGUUUUAUUUUAUCUUCAGCUUGACUUUCAACAAUAUUUUGGUUUCAGGUUCCUCUCUCGGUCACAAAGUCCAGCAGCGUCCAGCUAACAUUUACAAGAAACCAGUAGAAACAGCCAAAAUCCCCAAUUAACAAGUCGCAGCCCCCCAUGAUGUCAACUAUUGGUUUGUAAACUACCUUCUUGAAAGCAGAAGCAGUCAUACAGGAGCACGACUUGGAGGCUACACCUUCCAUUGAAUGAGAGUUGCUGUUGUUCAUAUGUUUCCAGGCCCCAUUGCAUACAAUGUUUUUUCAUCUAUUGACUCUAAGUGGGACCAUCAUGCUAUAAUGAGGAAGACUUGGAACCUGCGAUUGAGACUGUAAACGCUUUAGGAAAAUGGUCUAUGCCAGUUUAACCACCAUGAAAUCAGACAGAUUUACAUGUGGUGUCACUCCCACCUUCAACUCUUCAUGACGCUGUAACAAACGAGGACUCAAACACUUUCUGACUGACAUGGAUAUCACCACCAUCAAACAAGACCUUCUAAUAUUAUGUGUCCUUUUUCUGCGGACUUUAGGUCUGUCUGAUGGCAACGGUGUCAACCAAACACGCCCCUCACAUUGUGAACUUGAGAGAAGAGGGAGUCGACUCAUACAGGAGGUGUAACUGCUGAUGGACUGAAGAAAACACAAUGAUCCACAGCACUUGGUGUGGCUUCAUUUUGAAGCCACAC